ensembl:lncRNA
GCGUGAAGUACGGGGAACUGCUCGUCCCUCCUUCCCUUUUUUUAGUCACGGGGCAGGAAUGCAGGCCGAACGCCGCACAGCUCGGGGACCGCCCCCACCCCUCCCGGUGGUUCCCCACAGACAAGCCAAACUGCCGCGCGGAGGCCGGAAGAGAAGGGCUGCAAAACCAGCUCCGGGGCCGAAGGACCAAACAAACCACGCCGCCACCCCGAAGCCGAAGGGCCCUCGGCUCCCGCCCAGCUCCGGCCCCGGCCCCGCUCCCGCCCGGCUCCCGCCCGGCUCCCGCCAGGCUCCCGCCCGGCCCCGGCCCCGGCCCCGCUCCGGCCCCAUUUCCCUUCGGCCAGCCUCAGGCCCCGGAAGUCAACAAGUCCAGCCAGGGAACGCGGAGGACGCGCACGGAGCCAGCCGAGAGCCAGGCAGGCCGAGGCUCCGAGCGGCGGAGGGAGGAGUUUGUCCCAUUCGGCCGCGUCGGGCCUAUGACUGGCACUUCCUAAAUUCUGGCAUCACACAUGGUGGUGCCGUGCUGGCUGGUCGAGAAUCGCUGUUUUCCUGGCGUUAAUCAUCAGGUCAACAUGAGCAGAAUUUUGGCUCGGACAGGACAUCGAGUUCUCUCUGUAGAGAAUCGAUCCAUCUCCUAUUGCUUCUCGCUCCGAGGGGCUGUCAGCUGUCACGGACCCACUCUCAGUUCCUUUCCAAGGUUUCAAGACUUUACCAGCAGUGCAGUAGCUGACUGAUGUCCCUUGUGUCAUUCCUAAAGGCAUCUGACAACAUGCUAAAAACCUGGGAGCAAGCACACAGCCCUCCUUCACUCACUGGAAACAGGAACGUGAAGAGCAUUGUUAUGUCAUCAUUGAACUGGCAUAGAAUACUGAUUAAAUCUCUUUUUGCUAUGAACGUCCCCAAAGCCUCACAGCUGGCAGACCCAUUGCUUAUAGCGAAUGAAGAAAUUUCACCAGAUGUGGAGCAGCCCAUUUCCACUGGCAGCAUUACUUUGCAGGGAUAUAGACAUAGAUGAGGAGGCUGAUGCCUACGUGGUCAGAGUGCCCUUUGUGUUGGGGAGGUUCUGAAGGAAAGUGUGCAAGAAAAGAAGUUCUGCAGAGAUGUGCUAACUUCAUUGUGCUAGGCCUGUGAUACCUGGACAUUGCUUUCAUUUGAGUAGUCUUAGGAAGAUUCUGAAGAUCACCUGGCAAGAUGAGGUACCAGACCCUGAAGUCCUUUCUUGAGUUGAACUGUCCAGCAUUCACAUUCUGCUGCGGAGAGUGCAACUCUGAUGGGCUGGCCAGAUUGAAUGCCAAAUGCACACUUACCUAAAAACUAUUUUAGGAGAACUCACACAAGUCAAGUGCUCACACAGAGGUGAGAAGAAUUGAUAGAAGGUCCCUCUGAAGUAUCCCCUCUACCCCAGAAGCAGAGCAUAACUCCAGAACAUGGGUAACAUUCAUGAAUUGGCUGGAAAAAUAAGUAAAAGGUAAAGAAGAUGAUGGCCAAAGAAAGCUACUAUGGCAAUAGGGAAGAUAAAAAUACAAACUCAGAAGAGGACAGCAAUGCCAAAACACAUCUUUUUUUCCUGAAAGGAAAAUGUGAAAUGUUGUCAAAUUCAAAAUGAACUCCUGGAGGAACUUGAUAAGGAUUUUAAAAAUUAAAAGAGGUAAGAGAAAAAUCAGGAAAGGAAAGGAAAAUGAUGCAAGAGAGACUGAAAAAAGAGCCAACAGCUUGGUAAAGGAAGCACAAAAAAUAGAAUAAGCUACACAAACAUUCACUAAAGAAAUCAACUCCUUAAGAACUAGGAUUGCCCAAAAGAAAAAGAAGGUACAAGUGUUCAGUGAAGUGUCAAAAAUUAGAAUUGGGAAAUUAAAAGCUUUAUGUCUCCAGAAGAUAUAAAGAAACAAUCAAAUCAAAUAAAAAUAAUGAAAAAAAGAGAAAAAGUGUAAAG